ensembl:lncRNA
AGGAAGCACUGGAUGAGAUGGAAGAAAGGUGCAACAGAACAAGAGAGAAUCUCAAACAAGCCGUCCACUUGACAAGAGAUUUCAAGCAAGCUGUGGACUCAUUGCAACAAGAGCUGGAUGAACUGAUGGGCAAAUGUGAACCAACGAAACCACACCCAAGCCCACAUGAUUUUGUCCAGCGGAAGCAGUACAAGCAAGUAGCUGGGACACUGGUAAUGCAAGACAUAGAAUAUCCAGAUGACCCGUUUCAAGUGCAUAGACGAAGAGGUGAAGGCGAACACAGAUCAACAAGGACAUCAGGAAAGACUGAAACCCCAAAAUUUGAGUGCCCAAUACUCAUCAAGCAAGGUCAUGCACAGUACAUUCCCUGAGCAAGUCAAGAUCUGGACACUUUGGUUUCCCGUCUUCCAGACAUUCAUGAAGGAGCUGACAAAUGGAUUAGAACAUUUGAAGAAGAAACAACUGGAAAGCUUCUGGCCUUGGGUGACAUCAAAGCCCUGCUUGCUAAGUGUUUGGGGGCCUCCAAGAUGAAUGACAUUCUUAAGCAGUCUGGCCUCCUUCAAGCAGUGGACAGGCCUCAAGCAGAUGGAGUUUCUUUUGAUAAACAUUAACGCGACAUCUGGAUGACUUUUGUUGAGUACCCAAUGCAAACUGAUCCAGGUUUCCUGAAGGGGGAGCCAAUGGGGGAGACUGAGAAUUCCACCACCUACAUUAAGAAACAAUUAAGGUGUUGGAAAGAAGAACUGGAAAGAGAUCCAGAGCAAGACAAAGUACUGACAGCACUCUUCAGGACUGCCAUUGUGGAAGCCAUGCCUGCAGCAGUGAAAGUGAAGCUGGAGGAUGUGGUAGGUCUGAACUCAGUCACACAAAGAGUUUUGAGACCAUAUGGCCCAUGAUGUAGAACAUUACAGAAGACAAGAGCUAAAGAUGAAGAACCAAGAAAAAGAGCUGCAAAGAAAACUGACUACUGCAACUUGAGGAGCUGCUCAACAAGAAGAAAAGGUCCAAGCAGUGCAGAAGGAAGACCAUAUAGCAGUGAUGGCACCUGUCAAUACAGUACUUCAGUGCUUGUCAAUCCACCUGCAACAAUGAAUGUGCCUGCACCUGCAAAUCAGACUGCGAUAGCACAGGCACCAACUGCUGGAACAGCUAAUGCACCACAAGGACCAGCACCAGUAGUCAUCUAUCUCAAGUAAGAGCAGCAAAACAACAGAAGCCGGAACAGAAAACAACAACAAGGAGGAUGUGGCAGAGGAAGAUUUAAUAACAAUCAACAGAGAGCUGGUGGCACACCAGGAGUGUGUUGCGGAUGCAGUCAGCCUGGACACAACAAAAGCGACUGCCCCAUCAAUCCUUGGCAACAGAACCAGCCAAUGGCCCCAGGAGUCAACUAUGGACAACAACAAGUGCAAGCUCAACCUCUAGGCCCUGUCAACACAUGGCGUGGACCUGACCAAGGCUAUUAAGGCUGCCCAGAGAAUCCUAUGGGGAGGAAUCAGCUUCCAAUGAUAUCAUGUGAUGCUGAUCAAGAACAAAUGCUGCAAGUUAAUAUCGAAGGAAAACCCAUUACUGCCAUGCUCGAUACAGGGGCAACACACUCUUGUUUAAAUCCAAGAUAUGCCUCGUCACAUGACUGCACCUGUGAGCAUAAGCCUGAAAGACACUGAAAUAAGAAUACCAAUCUUAGUCUCAGAAUAUACACCUGUUAAUUUAGGCAGGGAUGCUAUAUGUAAACUAAAAAUGCAGAUAUGGUGUACACCAGAUGGAAUUAAUGUAGACAAUAGGGCAAUUAGACAAAUGAAUGUUUCAGCAUUGCAACAAAUACAAGAACCAUGUGCUAACAUAUAUUGGUUAGGUGAUCUAAAGGAAGAUGUAGAAAAAACAAUUAGCAAAUGGGGAAGAUACAUAAGAGAACAGCUUUGUGAACCAAGUCCGCCAAAAACUGAAUUUCAUUGUACUAUGAAGUAUGAUGAAAACAAAGACCAAGAAUUUGAAAAAAGAUGGUUAGAAAACACACAAGGGUUGAAAAUCCCAAUGAUUUCACAAUACAUACUAGUAGGACCAGAAGGUUCAGCUCUGCAGAUAGAUAGGGAAAAAUUCAUUGAAUGGUUUGAAGUGCCAAACUCAAUUCCUCAUGUUACAUUAUAAGUAAGUAAAGACUGGUUCUAAAGACUUAGGCCCCAUGAUAAAACAAGCAGAAAAAAGCAAGUGGGAAGCCAUAGAAAAUCCUCUAAUCUUCCAAUCAGCAGAUAAAGUGUAUCUCAAAAUUUUAUGUGCUACUCCAAAUGAUGGGAGUUCCUAGGAUGGUUAUAAAUACAAUAGUUGAGCCAAAAGUUAAAGAACACCAAACAAAGCUAAUUGAAUUGUUAAAAGAAAUGGAGAAACAAGUGCCAUUAGAAAUAUUGGUCUCGGCAUGAUACAGAUGUGGGAUUAGUAAAAUCAGCUAGUCCAAUUAGAAUAGUACUUAAACCAGGAGCUAAGCCACCCAGAAAGUUGCAAUACCCUCUGAAACCAGAAGCAGAAGAGGGAAUCAAAAAGACAAUUGAGGGAUUAAUGAAAGCAGGAGUGCUUGUUGAAACAACUAGCUAUAGUAACACCCCAAUAUUGCCAGUAGCUAAAGCAGACAAAUCAAAAUGACGUUUGGUGCAUGAUAUGAGAGCAGUGAAUGAGGUUGUGGAGGAUUGGCCUGCUGAAGUUCUAAAUCCGCUUAUGUUACUAACCAAUGUUCCAUCUGCUGCUAAUUAUUAUACCGUAAUUGAUCUCUGCUCAGCUUUUUUCAGUGUUCCCUUAGCCGAGGAGAGUAGACCUUUGUUCGCAUUCACCUACCAAGUCAUCAAAGUAUGAAAAGAAGAAAGGAUCGACGAGCGCCUCAGUGCUUAGCAACAUGAGUAGAUUCAACUGGAGGUUUAAAAACCCACUAUCUACUCCAACACCAGAUAGAGCUGAAAGGCAAUGAGAGUUGCCUGAGAGCUCCUCUGGCAACGAAGGACUGCAUCACCAGAUAGCGCUCCAGGCUACCGGAAAUGCUUGGAGUUCCUCUGGCAGCGGGGGAUGAACCAGUGUAUCAUUUAUUGCAUUACAUUCCUUUUUUUUUUUACUAAUUUUGAUAAUUUGACUAAUCAUUCAUAUACUCUGCAUAACCAUGACAACCAUGGGCAAGGCUAAGACAUCUCAUGUACAUGCUUUAAUACACAUUGUUGAUGUGUUUUGACUCAUUUGACCCCCAAGAAUGUAUAGGUAAGGAAGCAGACUCUUUUACUCUUCUCUAGUCAGUUGUGGGGAGAGAUGUUUGGGUCUGACUUCCUCUGGAGUGCAGCAACAUAAAGAAACAAUUUGUUAAAAGGCAAUGGAGGACCAUUAUAGGUUCAUAGACAAAUAGAAAGAGAGGUGGACUUGUGAUGUUGCACUCUAGGUAAAGGGCUUAGUGGUGAGACUUGGUAAAGUCUCAAAGGGGGGAAUAUAUUGUGUUAUUCUAUUAUAUCAUGUUAUUUACUCAAUAUGGUAUUAUC